AAAAAAUUUCUUAGUAACAUAGUAGAGCACGAUUCAUAUUUCACAUAUUUCCAAUGCAUUCUGCGGAAUACUAAAUGAAAAACCUUGCAAAGUAUGAAAUAAAUUUCCGAUUUGAUAAAAGCUUUCAGCUUUAGAGCUGGAGAUGUAAUUUUCAUCAACCCGUGAGCACAGUGACGUUCUCAUUGUGUCAAUUGAUAAACCUGUGAUGACCAAUCAGAUUCAAAAAAUUAGAUAUGUUUUAACUUUACUUUUUUAAUAAAUUAAUGUGAAACCUGGUGAAGUUUCAUUGUAAUUAAAAGCAUCCAAAAAGUACCAGGAAAAUCUUAAAUGUACUGUUUUUUAUUACCUAUUCACUACACUACUUCUUUUAAAAAAUAGCGUACUUCAUUGCAAUCUACAAAAAAUUUAGCAAUUACGGUAAUUUCUCGACUUCUUCUGACCACUGUAUAUACUUUACAGUAAAUUAUUCAUUAAACCUCUAUCGAUAAUAGAUUCAGUGUUUAUAUGUACUAAUAAAAUCCAAUUCUAGGUUUUAAUGAAAGACUUCGUAACUCCAGCUUUUCCAGAAGAAUUCAGAGCAGUUAUUAAAAAAUUUUAAGAAAAUGCAGCUCUAGAAUAUCAGAACAAGCCAAAAUUGAAGCUGAAUAAGCAGACAAGACUUUUAGCUGCUCCUUUACUCAGGAUGUUGCCACUAGUAGCUGUCGUAAACCUUAUGUGAUUGCACCAUCAUAGAGUCAAGCUGUCUACCAAUACUCUUAGUCUAUUGUAUAAGAACAAAAAAAAAAUAGACAUGCUUCAAACAUGCUUAUAGCUUGUGUAGACAUGCUUAUUUUUUUUUUGUCCUAUUUUGUACUUUUUACAUAUAUGCUGUACUCUUAUUUACCACUUAAAAAUAAUUAAAAAGGUAAAAAUAAAAAUUAUCAAAAGAAAA